UACGUAUGGUGCAAGCGUUACCCGGAUUUACUGGGCGUAAAGGGAGCGCAGGCGGCGCGCCAAGUCUGAUGUGAAACCCCGGGGCUCAACCCCGGGCAUGCAUUGGAAACUGGCGGGCUGGAGUGCCGGAGAGGUAAGCGGAAUUCCUAGUGUAGCGGUGAAAUGCGUAGAUAUUAGGAGGAACACCAGUGGCGAAGGCGGCCUGCUGGACGACAACUGACGGUGAGGCGCGAAAGCGUGGGGAGCAAACAGG
rnacentral:rRNA from 1 species